rnacentral:rRNA from 1 species
GACGGGUGAGUACACGUAAGCAACCUGCCUUUAAGACGAGAAUAACAAUUGGAAACAGUUGCUAAGGCUGGAUAGGAAAUAAAAAGGAAUCUUUUUAUUUUUAAAAGACCUUUUUCGGAAGGUAUGCUUAAAGAGGGGCUUGCGUCACAUUAGUUAGUUGGUAGGGUAAAGGCCUACCAAGACGAUGAUGUGUAGCUGGACUGAGAGGUUGAACAGCCACAUUGGGACUGAGACACGGCCCAAACUCCUACGGGAGGCAGCAGUAGGGAAUUUUCGGCAAUGGAGGAAACUCUGACCGAGCAACGCCGCGUGAACGACGAAGUACUUCGGUAUGUAAAGUUCUUUUAUUGAAGAAGAAACAAUAGUGGAAAAACUAUCUUGACGUUAUUCAAUGAAUAAGCCCCGGCUAACUAUGUGCCAGCAGCCGCGGUAAUACAUAGGGGGCGAGCGUUAUCCGGAAUUAUUGGGCGUAAAGGGUGCGUAGGCGGUUUAAUAAGUCUCUAGUUUAAUUUCAACGCUUAACGUUGUCCUGCUAGAGAAACUGUUUAACUAGAGUGAGAUAGAGGUAAGCGGAAUUCCAUGUGUAGCGGUAAAAUGUGUAAAUAUAUGGAGGAACACCAGAGGCGUAGGCGGCUUACUGGGUCUUUACUGACGCUGAUGCACGAAAGCGUGGGGAGCAAACAGGAUUAGAUACCCUGGUAGUCCACGCCGUAAACUAUGAGUACUAAGUGUCGGGGUUAAACUCGGUACUGAAGUUAACACAUUAAGUACUCCGCCUGAGUAGUACGUACGCAAGUAUGAAACUUAAAGGAAUUGACGGGAUCCCGCACAAGCGGUGGAUCAUGUUGUUUAAUUCGAAGAUACACGAAAAACCUUACCAGGUCUUGACAUACUCUGCAAAGCUAUAGAAAUAUAGUGGAGGUUAUCAGGGAUACAGGUGGUGCAUGGUUGUCGUCAGCUCGUGUCGUGAGAUGUUAGGUUAAGUUCUAAAACGAGCGCAACCCCUGUCGUUAAUUGCCAGCACGUUAUGGUGGGGACUUUAGCGAGACUGCCAAUGAAAAAUUGGAGGAAGGUGGGGAUUACGUCAAAUCAUCAUGCCCCUUAUGAUCUGGGCUACAAACGUGAUACAAUGGCUAUUACAAAGAGUAGCUGAAACGCGAGUUUUCGGCAAAUCUCAAAAAAAUAGUCUCAGUUCGGAUUGAAGUCUGCAACUCGACUUCAUGAAGUUGGAAUCGCUAGUAAUCGCGAAUCAGCAUGUCGCGGUGAAUACGUUCUCGGGGUUUGUACACACCGCCCGUCAAACCACGAAA